rnacentral:rRNA from 1 species
UGGGGAAUUUUCCGCAAUGGGCGCAAGCCUGACGGAGCAAUACCGCGUGAGGGAGGAAGGCUCUUGGGUCGUAAACCUCUUUUCUCAGGGAAGAACACAAUGACGGUACCUGAGGAAUCAGCAUCGGCUAACUCCGUGCCAGCAGCCGCGGUAAUACGGAGGAUGCAAGCGUUAUCCGGAAUGAUUGGGCGUAAAGCGUCCGUAGGUGGUUUUGUAAGUCUGUGGUUAAAGCGCGAAGCUCAACUUCGUAAGGGCCAUGGAAACUACAUAACUUGAGUGAAGUAGGGGUAGAGGGAAUUCCCAGUGUAGCGGUGAAAUGCGUAGAGAUUGGGAAGAACACCGGUGGCGAAAGCGCUCUACUGGACUUAUACUGACACUGAGGGACGAAAGCUAGGGGAGCGAAAGGGAUUAGAUACCCCUGUAGUC